UGUGUGUGUGUGUGUGUGUGUGUGUGUGUGUGUGUGUCUGUCUGUGUCUGUGUCUGUGUCUGACCGCGGUAGCGAACGUUCGUCUGUACACUCGUACACACGCACGCACGCACGCACACA